ensembl:lincRNA
UUAAAAAUGAGCUGCCCUAGAGUGUUGUCAUGGGGCUAAUAUAUCCCACGAGUCACCUGGGCCCAUCCUUGACUACACAGCUGCCAAGGUGUGGCUGAAUCUGACACCUGCAGGCCUCACCUGUCCUUCUCAGCGCCUGUUCUCGGGGAAGUCUGGGUGACCCAGUGGCCCGCGGAGGUGCGCCGUCACGUCGGCGGCUCGGUCACCUUCUACUGCAGCGUGGGGUCGGACGGGGAGGAGGUGGCCGACUGCGUGCCCUACUGGUACGUCCCCGACCCGGAGUCUUCCCCGGCCGGUUCUGGAGGUGAGCAGAGCCAAACAGUACGCUGGGCCGCCUCCGCGUGCUGGAAGAUCCGGGCAACUACACGUUCCUGAGCCUCCAGGGCCUCCAGCUGAACCACAGCAACACCUUCUACUGCCGGAGGAGCUGCCACGUCAGUGGAAAGCGCUUGGGCUUCUGGGGGACGGGCAGCACUCUUAACGCCACAGACCCGCCUGUGGCAGCAUGGGACACGGGGUGUGGUUCGUCAGCACUGGGCCUAGUGUACUUUCUCUUCGCUCUGAACAGCGCGAUUCUCUUCUGGAUCUGCGCCGCAGUCUGCUUGGUGUUCUGGCGCAGGACGCCGAGCUGCCAAUCGGAACCGAGCGGCUUCUACGCCAAACCCCCGAAGACAGCGCUCUGUGGGAGUGGAACUUGAAAUAACCAUGUGGACAUGUGCCCCCCUCCUCCUCCUCAAAUAAUAAAAUCACUGUUCCCCUCUGCGCCUCAAACAACGUGGCUACACGAUCCACGACCCUCUCUGAAGUAAACUGUCCGAAUGUGGGACGAUGUUCAUUAAAUUGGCUCAUCAAUAACACCACAGCUGUCCAGGUGGUUUCCCAAAGCAAAGCAGUACACAGUCACACCAGAGCACACCCGCGACCUUGACCUGGACAAAUUGGUUUAAAAAUGGAUGGAUGUGUAUUGGACACCCCUUGUAUAAGGCCUGCUUACAGUAGGUACUUAUCGCCUGUGGACGAUGGUAAGAAAUAAAUAACUAAUACAUAUCCAUUGUUUCCAUAAUAAAGCCUAAGUUAGACAUUUACCAUCACUUUACAAACUGGGUUUCAUAAACAAAUAGUAAUCAUCUUGAAGCAGCCUUACAGAGGUAUUUCCACAAUCUGCGUGCUCAUAUUUGGCGUUGCUGCUAUUAAAAUUAGUAGACAGCUGGGGACCUGUGUCAUCAGAGACAGGGGCGAAAAUGCUACUCUUUGUUGUGAAUUAGAACAGGAAGCACCAGUGCAUCUAAAUCCUCCAUAUACAGCUACUGUGGAAGAAACGGACACGUAGCGAUAUGACAGCAUGCAGACAGAAGACUGAUCCACGUGGGAAAGGCCUGUAGCUCGUUCUCAUCCCCUUACUUUCCAUUCGCUGCCUGACUGUAGGAUCUUAUGCAGACUAUUUCAAAUGAACUAACGGCAUUAAUACUUGUGAGUCUUGCCAAAGUAAUUCUGUGCACCUGAACUAAGUUCAGUUUGCCGCAGGGUUGAAUGCAGACACAAUCAACGGUUUUGUUUCCGAUUUUGCUUUGGGGGUUUUGCUGACUUUUUUCACCUUUAGGAGUGUUCAGUCGGAGCCGCUAAGAUCCAAUUAAAUCUUGACAACAUGACAGAGAUGUGCACCCUUCAAACUAUCACUUUCAUUUUGCUUCCUAUUAGCUUUGAUCUGGGAUGGACAGUAAAAACAUCCUGAUGCUUUCGGAAUUACAGAAG